rnacentral:rRNA from 1 species
GACGAACGCUGGCGGCGUGCUUAACACAUGCAAGUCGAACGGAAAGGCCCUGCUUUUGUGGGGUGCUCGAGUGGCGAACGGGUGAGUAACACGUGAGUAACCUGCCCUUGACUUUGGGAUAACUUCAGGAAACUGGGGCUAAUACCGGCUAGGAGCUCCUGCUGCAUGGUGGGGGUUGGAAAGUUUCGGCGGUUGGGGAUGGACGCGCGGCUUAUCAGCUUGUUGGUGGGGUAGUGGCUUACCAAGGCAUUGGCGGGUAGCCGGCCUGAGAGGGUGACCGGCCACAUUGGGACUGAGAUACGGCCCAGACUCCUACGGGAGGCAGAAGUGGGGAAUAUUGCACAAUGGGCGGAAGCCUGAUGCAGCAACGCCGCGUGCGGGAUGACGGCCUUCGGGGUGUAAACCGCUUUCGCCUGUGACGAAGCGUGAGUGACGGUAAUGGGUAAAGAAGCACCGGCUAACUACGUG